rnacentral:rRNA from 1 species
GAUGAACGCUAGCUACAGGCUUAACACAUGCAAGUCGAGGGGCAGCGGGAUUGAAGCUUGCUUCAAUUGCCGGCGACCGGCGCACGGGUGAGUAACGCGUAUCCAACCUUCCGUACACUCAGGGAUAGCCUUUCGAAAGAAAGAUUAAUACCUGAUGGUAUCUUAAGCACACAUGUAAUUAAGAUUAAAGAUUUAUCGGUGUACGAUGGGGAUGCGUUCCAUUAGGUAGUAGGCGGGGUAACGGCCCACCUAGCCAACGAUGGAUAGGGGUUCUGAGAGGAAGGUCCCCCACAUUGGAACUGAGACACGGUCCAAACUCCUACGGGAGGCAGCAGUGAGGAAUAUUGGUCAAUGGACGAGAGUCUGAACCAGCCAAGUAGCGUGAAGGAUGAAGGUCCUACGGAUUGUAAACUUCUUUAUAAGGGAUAAACCCUCCACGUGUGGGAGCUUGUAUGUACCUUAUGAAUAAGCAUCGGCUAACUCGUGCCAGCAGCCGCGGU